rnacentral:rRNA from 1 species
GACGAACGCUGGCGGCGUGCUUAACACAUGCAAGUCGAACGGAAAGGCCCCAGUGGUGGUACUCGAGUGGGGAACGGGCGAGUAACAGGGGAGUAACCUGCCCUUGUGUUCGGGAGAACGGGAUAAAACUGGGGCAAAUACCGGAAAAGAAGCCUUGCUGCAUGGUGGGGGGUGGAGAGCUUGGGGGGUGUUGGAAGGACUCGCGGCUUAUCAGCUUGUUGGUGGGGUAGUGGCUUGCCAAGGCUUUGACGGGUAGCCGGACUGAGAGGGCGACCCGCCACCUUGGGACUGAGGGAAGGCACAGACUCCUAAGGGAGGCAGCUGUGCGGAAUAUUGCCCGAUGGGCGGCGGCCUGAUGAAGCAACGCCGCGUGCGGGAUGGCGGCGUUCGGGUUGAAGACCGCUUUCAGCAGGGGCGGAGCUUGUCGUGACGGUACCUGCAGAAGAAGCCCCGGCUAACUACGUG